rnacentral:rRNA from 1 species
UAUGUGAUCGUCUCUCGCAUAUCAAUAAGCGGAGGAAAAGAAACUAACAAGGAUUCCCCUAGUAACGGCGAGUGAAGCGGGAAGAGCUCAAAUUUGAAAUCUUAAAGGGUUUCCCUUUACGAAUUGUAGUUUAAAGAAGUGUUUUCUGUUGAGGUUUUGGUAAAAGUUCUUUGGAAUAGGACAUCAUAGAGGGUGAGAAUCCCGUAUUUGACCUUUACUUUCAACUUUGUGAUACACUUUCAAAGAGUCGGAUUGUUUGGGAAUGCAGUCCAAAAUGGGUGGUAAAUUUCAUCUAAAGCUAAAUAUUGGCGAGAGACCGAUAGCGAACAAGUACCGUGAGGGAAAGAUGAAAAGAACUUUGAAAAGAGAGUUAAACAGUACGUGAAAUUGUCAAAAGGGAAGCGUUUGACACCAGUGUUGUUUUUCUGAAAAUCAAUUAAAGAACUGUUUAUGCUAAGUUGUUUAGACUUUAUCAGCUAUCUGCUUAGUUUUGAGCUUUUCUUUAAUGCACUUUUCAGUUAACAAGUCAACAUCAAUUUCUUUUGCUGUAAAAAAGCUUGAGGAAGGUGGCUUGAGAUUCGUCUUAAGUGUUUAUAGCCUCUUGCCUAUGCAGUCGGAGAGAUUGAGGUCUGCAGCGUAGAUCCUUCGGGGCUAAAUGCAUUUGUGCUAAGUUAUAGCAUUUUAUAGACAACUUUGUUGACUAUGAUUUGUCUUGUAGCUUACUCGCUUAUGUUAUUUUACCUACGCUUAGGAUGUUGAUCUACAGAGCGAGAGU